GAUGAAGAACGUAGCGAAAUGCGAUAAGUAAUGUGAAUUGCAGAAUUCAGUGAAUCAUCGAAUCUUUGAACGCACAUUGCGCCCGCCAGUAUUCUGGCGGGCAUGCCUGUUCGAGCGUCAUUACAACCCUCAGGCCCCCGGGCCUGGCGUUGGGGAUCGGCGGAGCCCCCCGUGGGCACACGCCGUCCCCCAAAUGCAGUGGCGGUCCCGCCGCAGCUUCCAUCGCGUAGUAGCUAACACCUCGCGACUGGAGAGCGGCGCGGCCACGCCGUAAAACACACAACUCUUCUGAAGUUGACCUCGAAUCAGGUAGGAAUACCCGCUGAACUUAAGCAUAUCAAUAAGCGGAGGA
rnacentral:misc_RNA from 1 species